CCUACGGGUGGCUGCAGUGGGGAAUAUUGGACAAUGGGGGCAACCCUGAUCCAGCCAUGCCGCGUGUGUGAAGAAGGCCCUCGGGGUGUAAAGCACUUUCAGUGAGGAAGAACGCCUGGUGGUUAAUACCCAUCAGGAAAGACAUCACUCACAGAAGACGCACCGGCUAACUCCGUGCCAGCAGCCGCGGUAAUACGGAGGGUGCGAGCGUUAAUCGGAAUUACUGGGCGUAAAGCGCGCGUAGGUGGCUUGAUAAGCCGGUUGUGAAAGCCCCGGGCUCAACCUGGGAACGGCAUCCGGAACUGUCAAGCUAGAGUGCAGGAGAGGAAGGUAGAAUUCCCGGUGUAGCGGUGAAAUGCGUAGCGAUCGGGAGGAAUACCAGUGGCGAAGGCGGCCUUCUGGACUGACACUGACACUGAGGUGCGAAAGCGUGGGUAGCAAACAGGAUUAGAUACCCCUGUAGUC
rnacentral:rRNA from 1 species